CCUUAGUAACUGCGAGUGAAGCGGCAAAAGCUCAAAUUUGAAAUCUGUCGCCUCCGGCGGCCGAGUUGUAAUUUGGAGGGAUAUCUUCGGGGACGGCGCCGCCCUAAGUUUCUUAGAACAGGACAUCAUAGAGGGUGAGAAUCCCGUGCCUGGGUGGCUGCCCCGUCUCCAUGUGAAGUGUCUCCGACGAGUCGAGUUGUUUGGGAAUGCAGCUCAAAAUGGGUGGUAAAUUUCAUCUAAAGCUAAAUAUUGGCGAGAGACCGAUAGCGCACAAGUAGAGUGAUCGAAAGAUGAAAAGCACUUUGAAAAGAGAGUUAAAAAGUACGUGAAAUUGUUGAAAGGGAAGCGCUUGCGACCAGACUUGAUCUUUGGUGAUCAGCCGGGCUUCUGUCCGGUGCCCUCGCCGCUGAUCAGGCCAGCAUCGGUUCCGGGGGCGGGAUAAAAGGUGGGGGAAUGUGGCUUCCUUCGGGGAGUGUUAUAGCCCCUGUCACAAUGCCGCCACUUGGGACCGAGGACCGCGCUUCGGCUAGGAUGCUGGCGUAAUGGUCUUAAGCGACCCGUCUUGAAACACGGACCAAGGAGUCUAACAUCUAUGCGAGUGUUCGGGUGGAAAACCCUUGCGCGUAAUGAAAGUGAACGUAGGUGUGAACCCGCGAGGGUGCAACAUCGACCGGUCCCGAUGUCUUC
rnacentral:rRNA from 1 species